ACCUUACUUGUGAGCCUUGGUGAGGCUCGAACUUCUGAUUUCCUAAGCAAGUUAUCCUUGAGGUGAAAAUCCAGUGAACGGACUAUGACUUCGUUUUGGAUGUUGUGAUUACUUGAUUUCAUCUCUUUUACUUGUAUUGUGGUUGUUCCUCCUUGGUCUUCUGCCAAUUGCUUACUUCACUUCACACCACCAAUUACAAGCAACUCUUAAUUGAGGCCAUCUUGUAAUUGGGGCUGAGGAGUGAAAUUUAUACUCACACACAUGUAUAAAGGCAGCCAAGCAUUUGGAAAUACAACAACAAGGACAUGCAUCAAGACUACCUUGUGAUCCAUUAUGACUAUUUUGAACACAUAAAUCCUUGCAUACAAGGUUGUGAUUUGACAUAAAACCUAUUCAUAAUCUUCUUGUGUUUUUCACUACACAAACACAAAGCAUGAAGAAAAAGUUUUGUUAAAUGUUGUUGUGCCAACUACAUGGACCAACAACAUUUUAAACGUGUUGGUCUCGUAUGUGUAGUCCAUUAACAACAGUGUGUUAUUCUUUUUGGUCAACUCAAUUGCCAAUUGUUUUAUAAAAAAACAAGUGAGUGAUUUGGCCAGUUUGUCACAUUUCAUGUUAUGUAUAUAUUUUUUGUUUUUCAAUUUGUUAACAAGGGCUUAAAUCAGUGUCUGCCUAUUUAACGUUUGUUGUCAAACUUUUGCUUUUGCGUUGUAUAUAGUUUGAGUGGUUGCAUCAAUUUUGUUCUUGGAAUAUUGUCAAGUUUUGAAUUAGUCAAAUUUUUGAUGCCGACAUUUGCCAAACAUGUCCUAGCUCCUCCGUAGUAAAUUGGUGACACAUCAUAUGCCUAAAAAUCACUUGCAAAGUAUUGUGGUUGUGAUCUCUAUUUCUAACUACUAGAUGCCAUAGACUGUUGGUGUUUUUGCUGCAGUAGAGUCAAAAAGGACCUAGAUACAUAUAUACUUGGAACAAUAUUUGACAAAAAAUGUUCAAUGUUUAUACGAAUUAAUGAUAUUUAUUCUCAA